UUAUUGCAGAAAUGUUAGUGUUUGACGGCUUAACCCUGCCACUUUGGGAGCCUGUUUCUACUCUUAAUUCCUUAACCCUCUGUUUAUGCUAACAAGAUACCAGUCCAUCACCAAGGGAAGGAAGGAAAAGACCUGAAACAAAAGCUGUGGAGAAAUGUUGCUACUGGCUUGCUCCCUGAGGCUUGCUCAGCCUGCUCUCUUUGACAACCCAGGACCAUGUGACAAGAAUGGCACCACUCACAUUGAGGUUCAAGUCAGCUCUACUCCACAGUUGUUGCUGUCCUUGGUGGUCAUCCCAUGAUACUGACAUCUCCAAAUGCUUGAUACUCUGCAACAACCAGGCUGUACCUUCAUCAAUAGCCUCUCCUCAGUUCUCUUCAGGGACUCUGAUCUAGCUACAUGGAUCUAACCUCAACUUUUUUCCUUGACUGCUUCAAUUCUUGGGUUACUACUACAAUUGAGGCUGCACCUUCACUAAUGGACUCUCCUCUCAUAGCACCAAGCUACAGCUACUCUCUGUGACAUCUUUAUGCCUUCAAAUCUAGCACCACCUGGAAGACCCUAUGAUAUGUUAGCAAGUUUGUCUAUGAGCACAAAGUAUAGCCUUGGCCUUCUUUGGACCACAGCUUCUGUGUACUGACGCAAGGAAGCAAUCCCAAUAGAUUUUGUCCCAGUGAUACUGAUCUUGAAGAGAUUCAGGUAACACCAUCUUUUCCUGAAUCCAUUUUGUGUCUGCAUAGACAUUUUUUUAGCCUUUUUUAGCCUUCUGCCCCCAUAAACAGCUAUGUCU